UGCCGUGGGCGCUGGAGAACUGAGGGGGGCUGCUCCUAGUACGAGAGGACCGGAGUGGACGCAUCACUGGUGUUCGGGUUGUCAUGCCAAUGGCACUGCCCGGUAGCUAAAUGCGGAAGAGAUAAGUGCUGAAAGCAUCUAAGCACGAAACUUGCCCCGAGAUGAGUUCUCCCUGAGACUUAAAGUCUCCUGAAGGAACGUUGAAGACGACGACGUUGAUAGGCCGGGUGUGUAAGCGCAGCGAUGCGUUGAGCUAACCGGUACUAAUGAACCGUGAGGCUUAACCUUACAACGCCGAAG
rnacentral:rRNA from 1 species